rnacentral:rRNA from 1 species
UACGGAGGGUCCAAGCGUUAUCCGGAAUCAUUGGGCUUAAAGGGUUCGUAGGCGGUUUUUUACGUCGGGGGUGAAAGCCCAUCGCUCAACGGUGGAACGGCCAUUGAUACUGCAAGACUUGAAUUACUAGGAAGUAACUAGAAUAUGUAGUGUAGCGGUGAAAUGCUUAGAUAUUACAUGGAAUACCAAUUGCGAAGGCAGGUUACUACUAGUGGAUUGACGCUGAUGGACGAAAGCGUGGGGAGCGAACAGG